GCAUAUCAAUAAGCGGAGGAAAAGAAACCAACCGGGAUUGCCUCAGUAACGGCGAGUGAAGCGGCAAGAGCUCAAAUUUGAAAGCUGGCUCCUUCGGGGUCCGCAUUGUAAUUUGCAGAGGAUGCUUCGGGUGCGGCCCCUGUCUAAGUGCCCUGGAACGGGCCGUCAGAGAGGGUGAGAAUCCCGUCUGGGAUGGGGUGUCCGCGCCCGUGUGAAGCUCCUUCGACGAGUCGAGUUGUUUGGGAAUGCAGCUCUAAAUGGGUGGUAAAUUUCAUCUAAAGCUAAAUACUGGCCGGAGACCGAUAGCGCACAAGUAGAGUGAUCGAAAGAUGAAAAGCACUUUGAAAAGAGAGUUAAAAAGCACGUGAAAUUGUUGAAAGGGAAGCGCUUGCGACCAGACUCGCCUCCAGGGUUCAGCCGGCAUUCGUGCCGGUGUACUUCCCUGGGGGCGGGCCAGCGUCGGUUUGGGCGGCCGGUCAAAGGCUCCCGGAAUGUAGUGCCCUCCGGGGCACCUUAUAGCCGGGAGUGCAAUGCGGCCAGCCUGGACCGAGGAACGCGCUUCGGCACGGACGCUGGCAUAAUGGUCGUAAACGACCCGUCUUGAAACACGGACCAAGGAGUCUAACAUCUACGCGAGUGUUCGGGUGUCAAACCCGUACGCGCAGUGAAAGCGAACGGAGGUGGGAGCCCCCUCGUGGGGCGCACCAUCGACCGAUCCUGAUGUCUUCGGAUGGAUUUGAGUAAGAGCGUAAAUGUGGGGACCCGAAAGAUGGUGAACUAUGCCUGAAUAGGGCGAAGCCAGAGGAAACUCUGGUGGAGGCUCGCAGCGGUUCUGACGUGCAAAUCGAUCGUCAAAUUUGGGUAUAGGGGCGAAAGACUAAUCGAACCAUCUAGUAGCUGGUUCCUGCCGA
rnacentral:rRNA from 3 species